rnacentral:lncRNA from 1 species
CAAUGAGGCAGGAGAGAGAGUAAGGCUAGGAGGAGGUGACAGGCAGAAGGGGAGGGAGAUCUGGGGGAAGAGUCUUUCAGAUGCCCUUUAGCACAUUCAAGGAACAGAAAGAAAGUAAACAUGGCUCCAGCCAAAAUGAGAUCGGCAGAUAAAAGUCAUAUAGAGAAUUAGGAGACAACUCAGAGGUUUGGUCUCAGGUGGGAAGAAAAAGACACUAAAGCCAUGGGCGGACUCAAUGGUUUCCUCAUGGACAGGGUGGUACCUGGUUCCCAGUAGACACUCCAGAAACUGGGCUUAAAUGGCAUCGUGAGCAAAUGAAAUUGGGUAUGAAGGAAAGGAGUUUCUGCAAUUUAGCAGGAAUGAGUGAUUGACGAGUAACACUAUCCAGAAACUGACAGACUGUCAAGCCUGCCUGCUACCCUGGGUUAUUUCAGCCUGGAAUUUCUGGCCCAGUGAGAGCAGUCAUUGCUUUCUCCCUCGAUGGGUUUCUCCAUAGAGAGUUUAGAACAGGAGAAAAAGAGAGAUGAGCAAGCUUUCUGCAAGCCAUAAAAUGAGGGGCUUUUGUGUGCUGUGCCUGUUUUGGGCUCCGUCUGUAUCUCCACAACAGCUCCAGUUCUGUGUAUUUAUCAGGCUGGUUGAGGCUCAUUGGCAAGUGGCACCUUAACAAGUGGAUCGAAAACUAAACUCAUUUUGAUGGCAAGUUAUAUUUUAUUCAAUGCAUAUGUUUGUUCUGCUGACUCAGGAUCUGGUCUUACAAAUGGGUAUUUCCUCGAGGUGGAGUCAAGGGAAGGCAUCUCCUGAUUUGCUUUGGCCUGGGCUUAUUUAGGGAUGCCUGUUCUAACUGGGCUUCUCAGAAGUGGGAUUUGCUUUUACCUUAUCCAAGAAAAGUGUAGAAAGUCCUCUGCCUGGGAGCAGAUACCUAAAAGCCAUCUAAGAGGGGGAGAGGGGGUGACCUGACCUUGGAAUUACUAAGGCCGGACUCACAGACCACCUUCUGUUUUGUGGCAAAAGGGACAUAGAGUAUGGCCCCUCGCUUAGCCUGACUGCACUUCCUGAUGUCUACAGUAAAGAAUGAGUGUAGGAGUUCCCACUGUGGCUCAGUGGGUUAAGAACCCAACGUAGCGUCUAUGAGGAUGUGGGUUUGAUCCCUCCCCCUGCUCAGCGGGUUAGGGAUCUGGCAUUGCCACAAGCUGAAGCAUAGGUCACAGAUGCUGCUCAGAUCUGGUGUUGCUGCGGCUGUGGUGUAGGCCGGCAGCAGCAGGUCUGAUUCGACUCCUAGCCUGGGAACUCCUAUAUGCCAUCCUAUUUAAAAAAAAAAAAAAGAAAGAAGGAAUGAAUGAGUCUCAGUUUUUCAGAGGGACCAAUUUACUCAAAACAUUUCUGAGUCUCUACUCCUGAGUUAUGUCCUUAAGCCAUAAGACACAGAUGCACUAAAAACAGAUGCUCCAAGGACCCCCUACACACUGAUGCCUGGGGGUUUCCUCUGGGCCAUGCUUUCUUACCUCCAUCCUGACACUGUACUCAGGAGCCCCCUCUAGUCCCAGAUGUUCUUGCUUAUUUACCUGACUCACUCUUCUCUUGCCUAGUGCAACCUUGGUAACUCGAUGCUGGUCCUGGGCUCCUUGCCCUGGGCACCAAUGGCUAUGUUCCUGGAUAUGACUGCUGAGAUUUACUCUGGCCUCUGAAAUAUGCCACCUCAGCCAGCCCAGCUCCCCCGAUCCUGGCAGCCUGCUCUGACCAGAGAGAAGUCAAGACAUUAAGACCAUUCAGUGUCUGUCUAUGAAUUCUACAUGCUGGUCACAUGCUGGACAAAUAAUGCUUCCCCCUUCUACCCCAAAACUUCCUUAGACAAGUUCAGCCCCCAUGUGCUAAUAAUUCAGAACGCUGUGAGCAGGUGUGUUUCCCUGACUGCCCCUGCCAUUCAGCUUUCUCUGGCCAAGGCCUAAAGUCAUGGAAGCCCAGGACAAGGCCUCAGAGACAGCAGUGGGGAGAAUCCUCUCCUCACAGUCCCUAUCUGGCUUUAAGAGCAAAGGUGCCCCAUCUAUUGGUCAGCCUUCCUCUCACAACCCUCCGUCUCACUGUCUUGGGGUUUGGCCUCUGGUCCCCCUCUCACCCCAUCCUCCAGAAACUUUACCCACAACUACAUCAGGGAUUCCAGGGGCAGCUGCACUCUGGUUUGAUAGAGGGAUGAUGAAAGGUCGAGUUCCACCUUAUUAUCCUGAAAAAGCAUGAACCUACCAAGUUUAGGGGCCCUGAACAGACAGUUAUUCUAACCAGACAGCAUCUCCUCCCUGACCCAGUUUUCUUACAGAAUCACCUGCACCUAAUCCUCUACCUUGAAGCCUCACACAGACUGAUGGUCCCAGGGUUUUUUUUCUCAGGCUGAGGCCACAGUGUUCCUGAUUUGGCCCUUGCAUAUUAUUUAAUUGUUUAUCUUGACACACAGGUUAAUCCCAGAGGGCAAUGCUUAAAAAGCAGCGUGGCAUCCCUGGAUCUAGAGAGAAAAGCAGCUGUAACUUAUGUCGGCCUCUCUCCUGCCAGACUCCUCCCAAUUAUUCUGCAGACUUCUUUGCCCCGAGGGCAGUUUGCAGCUCCAGGGGACUGGAAUUGGCUUAAAAAAAAUUCUUUCCUCUUCUGUGCUCCAUGUGAGGGGGCAUUGUGUGCUCUCUAAAUAAUAAGACUGGCUUUGUGUGACCUAACUGGACAGGCCCUUUGAGAGAUUUUUCAGUUGCAGAGAGAGCAGUCAGAUGUACCCUAGGAAACCAAGAAGUUUCCAGACCAGGGAGAAAAGUCCAUGACAGCAAGAUUUUUUUUCCCUUAAAUUGUAUUAUGAACUAAUAAUUCCUCUCUCCUACUAGCAUUUAAGGUAAUUAGGUACAAGUUUAGCAGAAGAAUCCAAAUUUAUAUUUUGGAUCUGAUGAUAAAUAAUAGCAUUUAAUCAGAUGUCCCCCACCCACCCAUCGCUAACAAAACAACAAAUAGUCAACAAAUCAUUUUAGAGCCCAUAUUACAUGCACAGCAUUAUCAUCGAUUGAGAUAAUUAUUUCUUAUAUUUACUGAUUUCUUCCUCAGGACCCAGCACUAGCUAGAAGCUAAGGGGUUAGAAAGGGUGGAAGUCAUGACGCUUGGCCUCCAGCUUAUAGCCACUCACUUAGAAGAGAAUGCUGAGCAGAACUGACCACCGCCACCGCGGCAGGCAUGAGCUGGAAUUUACACACAUCAACUACAUCAUUCAAUCACCUCAAUAAUUCUGUGAGGAAGACAGUAGUAUCUCCAUUUUACACAUGUGGAAACAGACAUCCAAAGGGUAUAAAUGUGGUGGGUGGAAAAAUGCCUCCCCCUACACCAAAGAUGCCCAUGCCCAAAUCCCUGUGAAUAGGUUACUUUGCAGAGGUGAUUAAGCUAAGGGUCUUGAGAUGGGGAGAGUAUCCUGUACUACCUGGGCCCACCAGGUACUCAUAAGUGCUUAAAAGGGUACUCGUAGGAGGUAGGUAGAAAUGUCAGAGACAGAGCAACAGAGACAGAGAUGUGAUGAAAGAACAGAAGUUGCACUGAUGUGAGGCCAUAAACCAAGGAAUGUGGGCAGCCUCUAGAAGCUAGAAAAGGCAAGGACACAGAUUCUUCCCUGACGCCUCCUGAAGACAGCAGCCUUGCUGAUCCAUCUGAGGCUUCUGACCUCAAGAACUGUAAAGUAAUAAAUGUGUACUGUUUUAAACCCUUAAAUUAAUUGCAGUAAUUUGUUGCAGAGUAAUGGAAAGCUAAUAUGAUAUGUUUAUUCACACCUGCCCCUGUUACAUUCCAUCAUGGACUUGAGUUGGCCAGAAAAGGUUACCCCAAAGGAGUAGAGCCAGAGAGGCUGCCAAGUUGAGAGGUUGGGUGCCUGGAAUUCUGAAAACCCCAGGAGCAGAAUUCAAACGAAGUCAAUGUGUGCUUAAAGUCCACGUCCUUUCUUUUUUGCUGACCUGCUCCCUAAAGAUAAAAUGUAGGGGCAAAGUGAGUAAAAUAUCUGAGGAAAUAUGCACAAGGAGUUCAGGAAAUGAGUGAGUUCCAAGGAAGAGUUACUCACUCACUGCAGUGAUCAGGGAAGACUUGAGGUACCAGAUUGGCCUGGGCCCUCCAGCACAGGUAGAUUGGGAGAGCACUAGAGGCCAAGAGAAGGCCCUGCAGAUGGGGGAAUGGCUUGAUACAGAAACACCAAUGGAAUUCCCUGGUGUCUCAGCAGGUUAAGGAUCUGGGGUUGUCACUGCUACGGCUCAGGUCACAGCUGUGGCGCAGUUUGGAUCCCUAGCCUGGGAAAUUCUGCAUUCAGCAGGCGAAGGAAGGAAGGAAGGAAAGGAUGGAGGGAAGGGUGGGGGCAGGCAAGCCACUAGGAACAGAAAAAUGAACCAGUCUUCUCACCCUUUACUUCCCCUCCUACUCUCACUCCAUCCUCUGCCUCUGGAUUCCAUUAAAUUUGCCAAGCAAAACCUUGACAAAGCCUUUCAACAUCCCAUGUCUCCCUUAUGUCAUAGAUGGCAGGUCUUGACCUCAAAAGGUGUAUUUGUCUUUCCUGCCCGCAGUUACCUUACAGAUCAAAUCUUCCAGUCUAGUGUUCCCCAGCAAUAAGGAACAAAGUGUUUUCAGUUCUUCGAAGUCAACAAGCGCACUCUUCAUAUGUGAGAGUGGCCAGUUUACUUCAGCAUGUCCAUGAGAAAAUUUUGCAUUAGAAUUUCAGACUUUGAGCAAGGUGGGACAAUUUUGUUAAAUGCCAAGAGAGUGUGUUCAUAGAUACAGUUUUAACCUUUAAUUUAUAAUUAAGCAAAUUGUGAAAGAGGUAACAUAUAAUACAAACAGCCCUGGGGCAGAAGACAACCUCCAGUCCUGAAUUCUAUUGUUACUUACAACAUGUUAUUGAGCAAACUCUCUUACAGCUUCUGUAAAAUGAGAACUUAGUUUUAAAAUUCUCUUAAGCACUGAAGAUAGUUUGGCCAUAAGCAACAGAAAUUUUGAUUUGAACUGGUUCAAACAUUAAGGAAAUGUAUUACCCUGCAAAACAGAAAACUGAGUGACAGGGCAGCUUAGGGUUUUUAUUAGUUAAGGUUCACCAGAGGAACAGAAUAGGAGAUAUUUAUUUUAUGUUUUAUCACAUUAUAUUUUAUAUUAUACUACACUAUACUAUACUGGCUCACAUGAUCAUGGAGGCUUAGAAAAGCCAAUGAUAAAGUUCCAGUUCAAACCAGAAGCCUGAGAAUCAGGGGAGCCAAUGGUAUAAAUCUCAGUCUGAGUUUGAAGGCUCAGAACCAGGAGAACAAAUGCUUGCAGACAGGAAAAGAUGGCUGUCUCAGCUCAAGCAAGAGGGCAGAUUCGCCCCUCCUCUAUAUUUUUGUUCUACUCAAGUCCUUAGCAGAUUGGGUGAUCCCCACCCACACUGGUGAGAGUGAUCUUUACUCAGUCUACCAGUAUAAACACUAAUCUCUUCUGGAAGCACCCUCAUAGGCACAUCCAGAAAUAAUGUUUACUAGCUAUCUGAGAAUCCCUUAGUCUAGUCAAAUUAUGCAAAAAAUUAAGCCCC